UCGGAACAUACUCUUGGGAACGUUACAAUUAAAUUAUUAAAACUUUCGUGAGCCAUUAUUAAAUUAUCUGUUAAUACGGCUUUACUCACGUUUUUGGUCGGUGUCGGUACCGACUAGUUUCGGACUAUUCGGAACCAACCAUUUCUAAAACAUUGUGGAGUUCUAAUUGUAGUCACAUUGAACGGUCACACACAUCACACAUCGUUACAAUUAAAUUAUUAAAACUUUCGUGAUUCAUUAUUAAAUUAUCUAUUAAUACAGUUUUAUCCCCUUUUUUGUCACGUUUGUGUUUUUGUGUCGGUGUCGGUACCGACUAGUUUCGGACUAUUCGGAGGUCCAUCUUCAGGGUGAGUGUGGUAGGUUCGCGGUAACGUCCCACCUCGUGGGACGUUAAGAGCCGUAUUAACAGAUAAUUGAAUCGUUACAAUGUUCUAUUUUUAACAGCAGUUGUACUUUAGUUUCAGUUUGAUGACCGUUGCAAGACUAUUGCUCGAGAAUGACCGAGAAUUUAUGUUAGUUUUUGUAUAUUUCAUUAAAAAGAGCGCAAAAAAAGAAUGCUGGUAGAGUUCCUUGCGCCGCUUCUACUUCUACUUACUCAGAGCGAUAUUUGUUUUCGAAGCUACCACUACCACCUACGGUGACUACGGAAACAAAUAUCGCUCGUUAGAAAUGACGUCAAAAAGAAUUCUUAACGAAUUAACUUUGAGAAUAAUGGUUAUACCUUUUAAUUUAUGCAUUUCUUUAUUUUGUACUAAGUAGUUUAAGUAGGUAGCUUCAAAUCAAUUAAUUUAUAAUAAUUAUUUAUAUAAUUAAGUGGUUCAGUGGUUUCUUCCCAAAAUAGUGCACCUAGAACGCCAAGAGAUUAUGUAUAAUAUUAUAAAUUUUGGGUAUAUUUAAAAUGUCGAGCUUGUUCAAUGCCGCAUUAUAAUGAUGUUGUAUUAUUUUUAUCCGUCAAUCGAUCUACAUCGACUUACCUGACGACAGCAGCUAAAUAUAAAUAUUAAUAGAAAAUUAAAAUAAAUAGAGUUAUUCCUGAAAAGUAACUAUUGAAUGUAUAUAGCCUAACAGUUCUUAAAAUAAGUAAAUGUGAAUAAAAAAAUAAAAUAAAAAAAAACUAAAAAAAUUUAUAAAAGCUCAAAAAUAGAUGUGAUAUCGGUGUCGUAAAAUGUCCGUCUAUUAUGUAUCUAUAUACCAAUGUCUUUAGCUUAAGAGAGCAUAACAAUAAUUAUUAGGUUACACGUAUUUCUCGCAUGAUAAAAAUUAAAAAAAAGUAAAAAAAAUAUGUGAUAUCGGUGUUCAGGUAUUAAUUGUUGUUAUAUAUUAAGGUACUACUAAAGUAUUUCUCCUUAAUUAUUUAUCUUAUAUUUAAAAUUCUCGUGUCCCGUGUUUCUUACCAAACGCCUCCGAAACGGCUAAGCCGAAUUGUAUAAAAUUUUAUGUGCAUACCGGGUAGGUCUGAGAUUUUUCAUACCCCAAAAUGAUAAGGGUAAAACCACCCCUAAAUAUUUUUUUUUAUGUUUUUGACAAAAAAAAGAUAUUUAUUUUUUUAUGAUUUAGCAUCAAAAAAUACAUAAAACUUCAAAUUUUCACCCAUCUACGAUCAAAACCUUUUUUUGUAUCACGAUUUUUAUAUUAUUCUGUUGUGAUGGAAACAGAUCCGCAAUAGGGUUGCAAGAUGUCAUACGAAUGUAAUUGUAAUAACAUACAUUUUAUAUAUUUGGUAGGUCUGAGAAUCGGUCGUCAUCAAUUUUUUAUACCCCAAAUAUUUUAAUUAACUUUUUAUUACUUUAGAUGGCAAUACAACGUUUGCUGGGUCUACUACUAACAUAUAAUAAAUAAUUAAGGAGAAUAUAAUAAUAAGGUGUUUUUAUACUAAUUAUUACUUAUAUAUUUAUAAGUAUUCAUGCUUCUUAUCUUAAGAUGUGUGUAGAGUUAGUAUAAGUACCUAUUGUCUAUCAAACUAUCGGAACAUACUCUUGGGAACCAAAUAAUUAGCCCACGGAGCGCAAUAAUACUAUAGCAACAAAAGUGAAUUUUAUUGUGCUGCAUCCAAAUACGGAAAAUUCGAUUGUUUUGAUGCAAAAAAUUUUUUAUAUCGUUUUAUUUUUCAACCCUAUCAUUAAUAAGUAUAGAAAGGAGACCAACCAUUUCCAAAACAUCGUGGAGCUCAAAAUGUGACGAAUCGUUACAAUUAAAUUAUUAAAACUUUCGUGAGCCAUUAUUAAAUUAUCUGUUAAUACGGCUUUACUCACGUUUUUGGUACGAACCUACCACACUCACCCUGAAGAAGGACCUCCGAAUGGGCCGAAACUAGUCGGUACCGAUACCGACAAAAACGUGAGUAAAGCCGUAUUUACAGAUAAUUGAAUCGUUACAAUGUUUAAUUUUUAACAGCAGUUGUAGUUUAGUUUCAGUUUGAUGACCGUUGCAAGACUGUUGAUCGAGAAUGGCCCCGUGUUAUUUCAUAUUAUAUACUUAUUACAUAUAUGAAUAGGCUCUAUCUAGAUUCUAGACGUGUAAAUUGUCUAAAAUAAUAAGUUACCAAUACCGUUUACUAAUGUUGGCCUUUUCAUUAUAUUGACACUGACAUUUUUAGCCUCGCCAUAGCCUCCUCUGUCAUAAUGUCAAAACGCUCGAUUUCAAUAAAAAAUUUAGACAUUUCACCUGAUUUUGACAAUAGUAUAUUGUGCAACAAGUGCGACCAAGUUGUCGAUUGCCCACGAAACCAAAGUUGAACAGUCAUUCGCUUGAGUGGGUAUGGUGUGGUAUGGUAUAUAUAGGGGCUCCUGUUUCCGCAAUUAAACCACUAGUAUGGGUCCAUUGUGCGUGCAGUAUUGGCCACUUACUCCAAUCAGCCCAGCUCCUUCCAGAAGUUCAGAAUAUUCCUGAGGUGUUCGCAGACUUCCUUGAGCGACCCCGUAUUAGUCAAGGCUUUUGCCCGUCGGUUGGCCACCCCUGCACAUUCCAGGAUUAUGUGAGUGACCGUUUCGUCCUCGGCUAGACAGCCUCUGCACCUAGGUCUGUCCGUUACGCCGACUGUGAAAAGGUGCUUGUUUAGUGAUGUGUGACCGGUUAGGGUGCCCUCCAUUAUCCGGAUCUCAUGUCUCUUGAGGCUUCAGUGGGUAAUCGACAACGUCGCACGAGCUGCACAUACUAUUUGAAAUUACAUUUGCGUGGGACAAGUAAACUUUUCACACUCAAACAACAUUUGCGUGCGACAAGUAAACUUUUGGCACUCAAACAACAUUUGCGUGCGACAAGUAAACUUUUGGCACUCAAACAGCAUUUGCGUGCGACAAGUAAACUUUUGGCACUCAAACAACAUUUGCGUGCGACAAGUAAACUUUUGGCACUCAAACAACAUUUGCGUGCGACAAGUAAACUUUUGGCGCUCAAACAACAUUUGCGUGCGACAAGUAAACUUUUGGCACUCAAACAACAUUUGCGUGCGACAAGUAAACUUUUCACACUCAAUGCACGCACGUAAUUUUAAAAUGGGCAAUAGGCUCUUUUUCAACCACAACAGCGAGCGCCAAGAUACUACUUUUCCCACAUGAGUAACAAACUAUUUAUUUUUAUACUUAACAACUGUAUGAUCUGAUAUAUUUAAAUUUUGUUUAUUAUAAAUUAAAAUGAUUGUCUUGCCAUAUUUUUUUCGAAAUGGUCGGUCUCUUUUCUGUUACAUUUCAAUCAAUCCUUAGCACUUAUAUCAAUCCUUUCAAAUAUAUCAUAGCAAUCGCAUUGGGAAAAAUAAAAUAUUAAGUAUUGGUCUCCGCAGCGCUCCAACUAGAUACCGCACUACCUAAGAACAAUAGCUUUUUUUAAUACGGCAACUAUUAGAUGCUUGUGUGCGUGGCAUCUUUCAAAUUUUGUAACAUACGCUUCGUGUUAUUUUUCAUUGAAAUUAAUAAAAUGCAUAAUACUUACUAUUAUAUGUGAUUCCUGUGUCUUUCUUAUUUCUUGUAGUAUUAUUCUUACAAAGUUUUACUACGCAAUCCUGCAUUUUAGUUUCGAUUAUUAGUAAAGUUUAACAGAAUUCAACACAAGAAAACACUCGAGCCAGUUUCGAACAAUGUGUGACGUCGAACACAAUGUUCGAAACUGGUUUGAAUAUGCACAGUUGAGCGUAGUAUUAGUUUCCGCACUUUGCGACUACUCCUGCGGUAUCUAGUUGGAGCCCAGCGGAAACCAUUUCUUAGUCUACAACACAGUAAUUUCGAAAUAUUUCUGCUCAUGUAAGAUAACCGGUGUCAAAUUCACAACACAACUGUAAUUUUUUUAUAAUUUUAUAAAGCAAUAUUUUGGUGUAAAAGUCACUUAUCACCUGUAAGUCUAAUAUCAGUCUACAGUGGAAAAGUAAAUAAAUAUGAUGCAACGAACAAAUAUUAUUGUUAAUUUAAUUUUAUUUAUUUAUGAAUAUUUCCGCUUACGUAAAUUGUUAACAGCUCGGCACUUCUGUAAUUUUAUUGUUUAAUAAUAUUUUUCUGUAACAAUGAAAAGUAAAUAAACAUCUUUCAACCACCAAA